rnacentral:misc_RNA from 1 species
UUUCCGUAGGUGAACCUGCGGAAGGAUCAUUAUUGUAUAACCGAGGUGCGAGGGCUGUCGCUGACCCGAAAGGUCGUGCACGCCCGAGUGCCCUCACACACAUCCAUCUCACCCCUAUGUGCACAACCGCGUGGGUCCCCCUUUGGCUUGUUCGGAGGGGGGCUUACGUUUUCACACAAACUUUGUAUGCAGUGUAGAAUGUAUUUUUUGUUUUUGCGAUCACGCAAUCAAUACAACUUUCAACAACGGAUCUCUUGGCUCUC